CCUUUCUUCACAUCAAAAUCAAGCUAUCCUAGCCAUCCAUUUGUGUUUACAAGGAGAGCACCCCUCCCUUCACAUUUCACGCCAAUUCCCUUCUUCUUCUUCCUUAUUGUUCUGUUUUCUCUCGGCUAAACUGUAGCAGCCCUAUUCUCUCUUUUCUCCCUUUCUGUUUCUCUCUCAGUUGGUAUAGCAGCAGCAAGAGCACCCCAAAAGAAUCCAUCCCCUUCUUUGUAUACAAUAGCAAACCAGAAACAACAAGCUCUUCUCUUCUCCUGUCUGUCUCUAUUUCUCUCUUUAAAUUCCUGUAGUUGCAGUGGGUUACCCGAACAACUCUCCUCUCUUUUGUCUUUCCUUACUUCCAGCAGCAGUUUAUGUUCUUCAUAGAAAACAGAAAAGGGUCCUUGUGGUCCUUCAGUUUCUCUUUUAAUUUCAGCAAGAUCAAUCUCUCAAAACUCACUGUUUUUUUCUCUCUCGGUUGCAGUAGAGAAGAACUCUCAAAGAAAUCCCCACUCUUUCUCUGCUUCGGUUUGUAACAGAAAAAGGAAAAGGGAAAGUUCUCUUAAACUUUCUUUUCCUCUUCUCUUUUUCUGUUUGCAGAAAAACAGCAGGCCACCCUUCCUUUUAAAACAGCAAAGCAAAGAAGAAAAUAAUAUCCUCUCCAUUUCCUCUUCUGCUCUCCCUACAGCAAACAGGUUGCAGAAACUAUGUCUCAACCCUCUCUGUCUUCACGGUAGCAAGACCCAAAUAGCAGCAGCAGAAACUCUCACUCCCUAACUUUCACCCACUCGGCCAGCACAAGAAGAGCGUCAACGCUCUCUUAUAUCCCUCUUAAACUCUCUGUUUUUCCUAUGGACAGCAGCUCCUUUUCUUUAAAACAAAAAAUAGAAAGAACCACUCGCUUCCCCUCUUUUGGGUCUCGGGCCAAAAGUGCAAAGAAGCUCGGUUCUCUCUUCUCUUCUCUCUUUUUCUCUCCGUGUAUUAGGUCUAUAGAUGGAAAAAGAAAAGAAAAGAAGAGUAGGAAUGAAGAAAGCAAAGAAAAGAAACUCUCAGUUUCUCUCACGAAUUGCAUCUCUUUUAAAAGGAAAAUAAAAAAGUUCUCUCUCUCUCUCUCUCUCGUGUAUGCAGCAAGGGUGCAAUUUCAGCCAUUUUUCUAGAAGUCUUUGGGACUGAGGACGGGGAAUACCAAGAGUACCAAGACUGUUUGAAUCUUUAUUUAGGUGGAUGAGGCUAUCUACCGCCUCUUGGGUGUGAUGGACUACCCUGCUUAGUCUAUCCUUUUAUUUAUAUGCAUCAGACUCAUUCUUCUAUCUUUCUUUGGUGCUGUAACAAUUAUUACAGGAUGGUUGGUAUUUUAUAACAGUGUUGUAUAUGGCAUAUAUGUUACUAUUUUAUGAUGUAUUUAUUAUGUGAGAACAUCAAGU